UCCUGGUUAGCUCAGUUGGUAGAGUGCUCCACUUGAAAUGGACAUGACCCUGGUUCGAUACCAGGACCAGGCG
rfam:Ixodes scapularis strain Wikel colony gcontig_1108378275930, whole genome shotgun sequence.